GUGGCUCAGGGGCAGAGCAUCUGCUUUCCAUGCAGAAGGUCCCGGGUUCGAUACUUGGCUUCCCCA